GUAUGGGGCUGUACCGUCGGUUUUGGGUGGUAAAUCGUCCUGCACUCCCMCUAAAUGUCCGGCCAVCGUCGGUUUGGUUUGGCUCUUGCGGACGGUCGGGUAGGUACCUCACUGUGCGGUUUCGGCGUGCGCAGGGAGAACUUAAAGCCGGUCGUUUUUUUGCAGUUGAACGUAGCGRACCGAGGAGACGUGUGCCAAUUCACACAGGCAGAGCAUGCCCGCCGUUUCUGCGGUGGGCCGGACCGCUUCUAAUCGUUGAGUAGGCGCUGCUGGGACUGUUUGCCAGUGCCAGUUGACGCUUUGUUCUCCGGGUUGGGAGGCCGGUCGCGCCUUGCCCUGCAGUC
rnacentral:sRNA from 1 species